UGGCGGCGUGCCUAACACAUGCAAGUCGAACGAGAAAGUGGAGCAAUCCAUGAGUAAAGUGGCGACCGGGUGAGUAACACGUGACUAACCUGCCUUCGAGUGGGGGAUAACCUCGGGAAACCGGGGCUAAUACCGCAUAAUGCCUACGGGUUAAAGGAGCAAUUCGCUUGAAGAGGGGGUCGCGGCUGAUUAGCUAGUUGGCGGGGUAACGGCCCACCAAGGCGAUGAUCGGUAGCCGGCCUGAGAGGGCGCACGGCCACACUGGAACUGAAACACGGUCCAGACUCCUACGGGAGGCAGCAGUGGGGAAUUUUGCGCAAUGGGGGAAACCCUGACGCAGCAACGCCGCGUGGAGGAUGAAGUCCUUUGGGACGUAAACUCCUUUCGACCGGGACGAUUAUGACGGUACCGGUGGAAGAAGCCCCGGCUAACUUCGUGCCAGCAGCCGCGGUAAUACGAGGGGGGCAAGCGUUGUUCGGAAUUAUUGGGCGUAAAGGGCGCGUANGCGGUGCGGUAAGUCACCUGUGAAACCUCUGGGCUUAACUCA
rnacentral:rRNA from 1 species